AAAACAUUUCUCGUCUCCGUUUGACAGCACAGAGACCGGCGAGUCCACACCAGCCCUGCCCCAGGCUCACCUCGGAAGAGGCGACCCCAACCUUCUCGGACUCGUACAUGAGGGCCAGGGACCUGCUGGUGCUGGCGGCCGUGGCCUCAGCCCUGCGGAGGACCUCCUGCCGCAAGUACUGCUGCCUGUCCGCGGGCGCGUCGGGCCCGUCGGGGAGGUCUCGGGCGUCCCUCCAAGGGGCCGGCCGGGCGCCUUCGUCCUCCCCGUCGUCGUCGAACGGAUUGUAGCUUUUAGGGUCCAAAAGCUUCUUUGCAUGUGUCCAGUGGAUUUCCAUGGGAUCUUCCAGUUAGAUGAAAGACGGAGAGAUGCAGUGAUUGCAUUGGGCAUUUUUCUGAUUGAAUCUGAUCUUCAGCACAAAGAUUGUGUGGUUCCUUACCUUCUUCGACUUCUCAAAGGUCUUCCAAAAGUGUAUUGGGUAGAAGAAAGCACAGCUCGGAAAGGCAGAGGUGCCCUCCCGGUUGCAGAGAGCUUCAGCUUCUGCUUGGUAACUCUGCUGUCUGAUGUGGCCUAUAGG
rnacentral:lncRNA from 1 species